rnacentral:rRNA from 1 species
AUUUAUUGAGUGCUAAGAGAUGGAAUUUCAAAAAAAAUCUUUUUUAAAAUUAAAAAUUGAAGUUAUUUUUAUAUGUGAAGAAACAAUAAUAUAAAUUUAGGACAAGAAGACCCUAUGAAUUUUUAUGUUUUUAUAUAUUAGUAAAUAUAUAUAUUACAUUUAAUUGGGGCGAUUUAAAAAUAUCAAGAACUUUUUAUUUAAAAAAUUGAUCCAUUAAUAAUGAUUAUAUGAUUAAAUACUCUAGGGAUAACAGCGUAAUAAUUUUAGAUAGAUCUUAUAGAUAAAAUAGUUUGCGACCUCGAUGUUGGAUUAGGAUUCUUAUUUAAUGAAGAAGUUAAAAAAAGAAGUUUGUUCAACUUUUAAAUUCCUACAUGAUCUGAGUUUAGACCGAUGUGAAUCAGGUUGGUUUCUACCUUAAUUUCAAAAAUAUAUUUCAAUUAGUACGAAAGGAAUUUUGAAAUAAUUUAUAAUUCUUAAUUUUACAGUUUUUGCAUCAAAUUUUGGAAUUAUCCAAGUGGCAGACAAAUGCUAGGAUUUCAAGCUUCCU